rnacentral:rRNA from 1 species
CACGCCGUAAACGAUGGAUACUAGCUGUAGGGGGUAUCGACCCCCUCUGUAGCGAAGCUAACGCGUUAAGUAUCCCGCCUGUGGAGUACGGUCGCAAGACUAAAACAUAAAGGAAUUGAC